rnacentral:rRNA from 1 species
UUUAUUAUUAAUAUUUUGCAAUUAAAUUAUUAAUAAUUUAAUUGGGGUGAUAAAAAAAGAAUAAGUAUCUUUUUGAUUGUAAAAUAAGUUCCGUUUUUAGCGAUUAAAUGAAAAAAAUACUCUAGGGAUAACAGCGUAAUAAUUUUGGAUAGUUCAUAUAGAUAAAAUAGUUUGCGACCUCGAUGUUGGAUUAGGAUUCUUUUUUGGUGAAGAAGUUAAAAAAAGAAGUUUGUUCAACUUUU